AUACGGAGGGUGCGAGCGUUAAUCGGAAUUACUGGGCGUAAAGCGCGCGUAGGCGGUUUAGUCAGUCAGAUGUGAAAGCCCCGGGCUCAACCUGGGAACUGCAUUUGAUACUGCUGAACUAGAGUAUGGUAGAGGGAAGUGGAAUUCCGGGUGUAGCGGUGAAAUGCGUAGAUAUCCGGAGGAACACCAGUGGCGAAGGCGACUUCCUGGACCAAUACUGACGCUGAGGUGCGAAAGCGUGGGUAGCAAACAGGAUUAGAUACCCGAGUAGUCC
rnacentral:rRNA from 1 species